rnacentral:rRNA from 1 species
GACGUAGGGCGCGAGCGUUGUCCGGAUUUAUUGGGCGUAAAGAGCUCGUAGGCGGUUUGUCGCGUCUGCUGUGAAAAUCCAGGGCUUAACCCUGGACCUGCAGUGGGUACGGGCAGACUGGAGUGCGGUAGGGGAGAUCGGAAUUCCUGGUGUAGCGGUGAAAUGCGCAGAUAUCAGGAGGAACACCGGUGGCGAAGGCGGAUCUCUGGGCCGUAACUGACGCUGAGGAGCGAAAGCAUGGGGAGCGAACAGG